rnacentral:piRNA from 1 species
UGCUGAGGUCCCAAUUCAUCACACGUUCC